GUAAAAAUGUGUAAACAAACUCAGUUGGAGUUCAGAAAAAUCUUACUUAUUACCGAUAUGUGCAGUGCCGUGGAAUAACAAAAAUUGCUUCAAAAAAGCUGUGUGUGUGGCUGAUACUCCAGCAUCUUUCCAUGUGUGUAAACAACGCCAAGAGUAUUACUGUUUUGUGAUCAUCAUAUUUCAUUCGGAUUGCACAUUACCGGGCAGAAAAAGCUUCAAGCAACCAAUUUUGUACAGCAUCCGCACGCUGUAUGAAGGUGUAAAACAAAUUUUCAUCUGUAAGAUGCUCUUCAAACCUGUCCAGUGACUCUUCGUUGCUUAUAUAUUGCAUCGGGAUGGUUUGAGCAUUGCGUCGCACGCCUUUCAUCGGGUGUAUUGUGGCCACUACCGCAGCCGUUUGGGCAGUUCGGGCAUCCAGUUUUAAUAAUGAACAUUGUGAACAAAAAUCGUGCCCAGGACAAGUUAUUUUUGCUUGAAUUAACUCUGUGUUCUUAUUUACAUGAAUAGAUACGGUGGACGGAUGAAUGCUGCUUGCUGACGACUGCUCUUCGUGAAAUGUUGAUCCCGGUGAUGAAACACACGGUUCCGGUGUCAUGCUUGGUGACGGCUGACGGGAUCCUUGAUGCACGACAGUCGUUUUUGCCGGUCGCGCAACGUCAUGCGCGCAUGAACCAGCAGCUGAAGCAACAGACGAUUUCGGCGUCGCACUUGUAGUCGGCUGCGAUCCUCACAUUGGUUCGUCAAAUGAUCCUAACGAUCACGAAAUGCCAUCCACGGAUCCAGCAGCGGGAAUGACCGAUGGUACCGGCGUCGCACUUGUGGUCAGCUGCGAUCCAUACGAACGCUUUAACGACAUUGUCGCUAGUGGAACAACACGCACGGAACUAGAAGGCACAAGAAUCAUCCCACGUAUCGCUUUCGUUGAGGGCUGCGUUCCUCGCUUUUGUUCCAUCGAUCCUGCCGGACGCGUAGCGAUAUCCACGGAACCAGCAGUGAGAGCCGUAGAAGAUUCCGACGUUGCAGACGAUCCUGCCGGCCGCGGAAUGACACGCAUGGAACCUGCAGCGGGAACAAAUGCCGGUACCGGCGUCGCACAAGUGGACGGCUGCGAUCCUCGCUUUUGUUCCACCGAUCCUGCCGGUCGCGUAGCAAUAUCCAUGGAACCAGCAUCGGGGGCAAGAGACGGUUCCGGCGUCGGUCUUGAUGACGUUCGUGGUCCAAAAACACGGACGAUCGCGCCUGUGGAGCAUAAUAUAGCCGAAGGCAGUUGUUGCAGUGCAAAAAGGCGCCCUUUCUUUGGUGGUUCCGACAUUAUAUUUUGGCUGAAAUAAUCAAUCGUUUUAUUAUUUUUUAUGUGAAACUGCUGAGUUGUAUUUGAAUGCUGCACGCUGAGUGUUUAUGUUUUCAGCUGUGACUUACAAUAAAGGGUAACAAUCACACGCACAAUGCCUCAUUCA